CGUAGAGCUGCGCUUAAAUUUUUCAUUACCGCAUAUCGUAAACGGCGGUGGUGUCUUUGAUAGCGAAAACCAAAAUUAGGAACAUGAAAUUGUGACCGCCCUGUCUCUUUCUCGGUGGCAGCGCACCACGUCGAAGUGGUUGUUACGCUACACGCAGCCUGACUGCGACCCUGGCGCUGAAACGACUAGCCGCGGAUGUUUUCUUUUUUUUUUUCGUAAUUUUUGGGUUUCUUUCUUUACGAGAAAGAUUAUUUGGAGCAUAAGUAGGAAUAUAGAUACACCUGAAUCAGAUGCAUCUUAACAAACUCCCCAAUUUCGCGUGGGGAAGAUUUGAGAAGCUUAACUUAACCAACUACCUUGUUUCUUGCGUCACCGAUCGUGUACGCAAACUCAAUGCUACAGUCGGUUGCAUUUCGAGCUGCAGUUUCACAGGGACCUUGAAUAGGGUUAUCGUAGCGCGUUUAAACGACAGGACAAACGAAGACAAAAAAUAACCCACACGGCGCUUGUGCCUGGCAUAGUUAGUGUCCUUUCGUCCUCUAUUUUAACCGCACUACGGUAAACCCUUUCAAGAGUCGUUACCAACAAGCCCCAUUGUGGACCCUCGUUCACAGGGACGUCAUGCUCUCUAUUCUCUCAGAUGAUACACCAAGCUUAGCGCUGUGCGCUCUGCCCUUUAUCACGGUAUAUAUAACGAAGCAUUGUCUGCAUCCUACCAAGACGCUUUCCUGUCCGUCUGAAGGCCACGUCCUCUGCUCGCAGAACGAAGAUGAUCCCCCGGCUUUCAGCGACGAUGAAUUGCCUUGCAACAGCGUUUUCUGUGGUUCUCUUGUGCGCUUGUACAGGAGAUUGCACUGGCGGACUAAUAGUGGGCCAUGUUGAGACAAUUACUUUAAGAGCCAUCGUGCACGGAGGCAAAUGCUAUAUGAGCACUUACUACAUAAUUGAUGAUGGAUACACUCUCAACUUAACGAGUCCUUGCCUGGGAUUCACAUGUCAUGCUAAAAACGGAACUGUGACAAU